UAUGGACUCAGCAGUCUGUGUGUGUGCCUGUGUGUGUGUGGCUGGACUAAGCAGUCUCUGUGUGUGUAUGGACUUAGCAGUUUGUGUGUCUGUGUGUGUGUAUGGACUCAGCACUACAUUGUGUCUUAACAUUGGCAAAUUCGCCACUGGCGCCCUGUGCUCUUCACAGAUGAAAGCAGGUUCACACUGAGCACAUGUGACAGACGUGACGAAUUUGCCAAUUCUGGUGUUCUCUGGCAAAUGCCAAACAUCCUGCACGGUGUUGGGCUGUAAGCACAACCCCCACCUGUGGAUGUCAGGCCCUUAUACCAACCUUCUUGCCACAGCUUGCAUUGAUGUGCCAUCCUGGAUGAGCUGCACUACCUGAGCCACUUGUGUGGUUGUAGACUCCGUCUCAUGCUACCACUACAGUGAAAGCACCGCCAGCAUUCAAAAGUGACCAAUACAUCAGCCAGGAAGCAUAGG